rnacentral:rRNA from 2 species
GGAGCUUGCUCCCUGAAGUCAGCGGCGGACGGGUGAGUAACACGUGGGCAACCUGCCUGUAAGACUGGGAUAACUCCGGGAAACCGGGGCUAAUACCGGAUAAUUCUUUCCCUCACAUGAGGGAAAGCUGAAAGAUGGUUUCGGCUAUCACUUACAGAUGGGCCCGCGGCGCAUUAGCUAGUUGGUGAGGUAACGGCUCACCAAGGCAACGAUGCGUAGCCGACCUGAGAGGGUGAUCGGCCACACUGGGACUGAGACACGGCCCAGACUCCUACGGGAGGCAGCAGUAGGGAAUCUUCCGCAAUGGACGAAAGUCUGACGGAGCAACGCCGCGUGAGUGAUGAAGGUUUUCGGAUCGUAAAACUCUGUUGUUAGGGAAGAACAAGUACCGGAGUAACUGCCGGUACCUUGACGGUACCUAACCAGAAAGCCACGGCUAACUACGUGCCAGCAGCCGCGGUAAUACGUAGGUGGCAAGCGUUGUCCGGAAUUAUUGGGCGUAAAGCGCGCGCAGGCGGUUCCUUAAGUCUGAUGUGAAAGCCCCCGGCUCAACCGGGGAGGGUCAUUGGAAACUGGGGAACUUGAGUGCAGAAGAGAAGAGUGGAAUUCCACGUGUAGCGGUGAAAUGCGUAGAGAUGUGGAGGAACACCAGUGGCGAAGGCGACUCUUUGGUCUGUAACUGACGCUGAGGCGC